AUAAAAUCCCAUAUUUAUUUUAGUACACCACAUAACAAAACAAAUUAAAACAACAAAGAUCAUCUUCUCUGAGAGGUUACUCCGGCGAUUUUUAGAAUUAAAAAAAUAACACCAUGCUUAUAUGGGUUUCAAAUUUAGAGUUGACUACAACUCUUGGCAGGACUCAAUCAGUGGUGUGUCCGGUCAGAGUUUAAGUGGUGGCGCGUCUGACUAGAGCAGCGAUGGUGUGUCUGGUCGUUGACCAAAAUUACAUAUAUUCAAAAAUACGUGAUGAGUCGGGUCAUUUCGGGUCAGAUCAGGUCGUGUCAGUCCACAUGGUUGACCCAUACCCGUAAUCCAACAGGAUCCAUUGGGUUUCCUGAGUUUGUGUGUGAGUAUAUAUUGAGGGGUGUUUGUUACAAGUGUUUCACUAGAAUUUGCAAUAGUUGCAGGUGAAAGCCCAACAAAUAAAAUAGUUGAAGCUUCUUUCGUCUUUUUACAUGGUACAAAGAUUUUUUUGUGUAUUAUUGCUAAUUAUUUAUCAAAACAUAUCUCGGUUAGUAUUUGAUCGUAUGUUGUGCACACUCUCUUUUUUAUUUAAAAAUUGUGUCAAAUGGUACUCCACGUGGAUAAGUAAUGAAAAUAAUUGGAAUAUUUUACAA